AGUGGGAAUUUGGUGGGGAGGGAAAGAACAGAAAGGGGAGGGCACGUGGAGGAAGGGGGAGAGGCAGGAAGAGCAGCGGGGUGUCUGGACCAGCCCCUCACACAGCCCAGUGUCAGGCAGGAAGUGGGACUAGGACGCAGCGAGGCCUCAGCCUCCCUGGCACCAGCUAGGGAGUGAGCGACAGGACUCUGCUCCUGGCACAAAAAGGGGGAGAGAGGGCUUCUCAGGCCCUUGGGAAGGAGCAGAGCAUGGCAGCCGCGUCCUCGUGGGCCCCGGAAGAGAGGCCGGAGAGCUUGUGUGACCCAGCUGCUCUAGCCCCGCGCACCGUUUACAUAACAGGGUCCCAUCUCUUGGCCUGGGAGGGAUUGAGAACAGAUGCAGAUUCUUGGAAGGUGGUGCAUUUGGGUCAGACCAAACAAGGGGAACAUGGCUGCCUCUUGCGGGCAGGGGCCUCCCUGAGGCGCUCUGCUGGCCAGGCCCAUCCUAAGCUGCCAUGCGAGCAUCACAGGCGUCUGCAACUACUUGAACACACUCGUCGCUGCCACUGCAGGGACACGGGGCAAACGGGGAGACAGAAGUUCAAGGCACCCAAGGCACAGGGAGAAUGCCUGGUUGUGUUUAGGCACGACCUGAGCCUCUUCCUCAGGAAAGUGGGAAUGAUAACAGGACCCACUCUCAGGGCUCCUGGAAGGACUGAAUCAGAGAAACUGCAGAAAAACCUCACGCGGGGCUUGUAACAGAGCGGCACUCGGCACCUGUCGGCUCUCUCUUGUUUCUCCGGCCCGCAGUAGUGCCAGGAGUAGUAGUUUCGUCACCACCACCACUAUUCCCACUACCAUUCCCAGGCUUCCUCACCCCCCAGGUCUCACGGGGCCGGCCUCAGGCUCCCUCCGCCGGAGUACUGCAGUCAGGACAGAGGCAAGAGAGGAAUGAAAAGGAUCGGUUUUCUGAGAGGAAAUUAAAGGCUCUUUCCCCCUUCCUCCUGUGUUUGCUUGUGCUAAAAAUGUCAGGAGUUCCUAAGCUGGGCUUUUCCCAGGUCGCUGAUGCUUCUGGGUAAAGCGAUGCUGGGCCAGGGGCCCCCCGAGAACAUUCACAAGGACGCAUUUUGUGGCAAGUGGAAGUGAUGACUUUGAACGAGUCUAUUUUGGCUGCUUGCAGGAGCAGGAUGAGACAUGAGGUCUGACUCAUUGCCUAAAACAUGUCUGCAUCUUUCAGAGAGGGGUUUAUGUUGCCAUGUUUACCGGCUGGAAAGACUGAAGAGAAAUAGGUUUAUGUUCCGUUGUCUAAACAAAAUUCAGACGGAGGCCACAGAUGGACUGUUGUAAGGCUGACCUUCUCCCGCUCCCCCUGCUUCCUGCACGCUUGAUUUAAGUCUUCCCUAGCUCUUCAGUUUUUCCCCUGCGAACACUAGGAGGGAACAGCUGGUUCGGAGCUUCUUGAUCCCAGCUAGCUGCAGUCCUGGAGCUCCGGUGCUUUAUCUCCGGGACAGGUGUGGACCUGACCCCGGGGCCACGUCCUCCUCCCCGCCGGCUGGCUGUGGAGGCCAGGGGUACCCCCCAACUACGCACCCCAGGAGAUCUAGAUGGGGCUACCAGGAAGACGGACGGACAUGUCCUCGUGAUGAGGGUAUACUUCCUCUUUCCAGGCUGAGGUGUCCUGAUUUUUGCAAGCCUUAAGAGGACGCCUGAUCCAUGGGGUAGACCUAGGGAAACUCUAACGUGGAAAGAAAUUCCAGAACCUAAGAAGAGAGAGCAUAACCUGACACUUGGUCGAAGUCAUUGUAAUCUGGAUAAAAGGAAGGAUGGCCUCUAGCACAAGACUCCAGAGCUCGGUAUCCUAAGACAUGGUACCAGGGGAAGAAGGAGCUGAUGAGUAUGUGGACGACCCACAAGGCUGGUCUGGAGGAAGAUGGCGGGUUUGGGUAUAUCCCUUGUCAUCCUAGGUUGUUGGGGGCCCAAAUAAAACUCUGCAUCAGGGAGUCCGUGCGCACUGUAGAGGAGAUGCUGUCACUCACUCUUCAUCCUGUCCCAUACCAGCCACAUGUCAUAGAAUGGACAGUCCUGGCUGGUGCUCAGCUGCGGCUGGGACAGUGCUCUGUCCCCACUGCAGAGAAAACUGGGGGUGUGCUCCAGUCUCAGGAGGUGCUAUCAUGAAGGGCGGGGGCCUUCCACCCUUCCACCCUGCUUCCCCAUGUGUGAGGAGGAGCCCUCUGGCCAGGCCAAAGCCCUACGGAUGCGACGAGGGCCUAACAUGGGCUCACAGGGGCCACAUCGCACCUGUGGGGCUUGGAUCCAACAUGGGGACCUGCUCUGCAUGCGGCAGAAGCAGGGCAGAGCGAAUGAAAGUCUCUCCUUGUAGCCGGGCUGUCCCUGACUCGCUGGGCUGGCACCCAUGCUGGACAUCCACCUCCCCACCGGCCAGCUCCUGGCGCCUCUCCAGGGCUUCCUGAGCUGCGAAAGCCUCAGAGGAGAGCUGCUCUGUGCUCAACUUCGUCUGGACCCCGUGGAACCUGUGAUGUGAUGUGUCAAAGAGAUGGAACAGCUCUAUCCCAAGACUUAUUGGAACGUGACCGGACCAUCAGUUGUGACAGGAAAAAGCAGGAAAAGGGUAGCUUUCUGAUGAAGAUUCAGCAGAGGUAACGGAAAGAUUUGCCCACGCCCUGGGGUCAGACAGCCGGGAGUGGAGGGUCCCUGCCGGGCGACUUCUUGUGUUACCCUGGGCAAGUCAUGUAGACACUGAGCCUCUGUCUCCUUACCCUUGAAAAUGAGGGUUCCAUGUGCCUGGCAGUUAGAAGGGGGUCAAUAAACGUCAGUUCUUGUGCCCCUCA